GAAAAUAAAAGGAGGUCUUAUGGGUUUGGAACGACAUGAGGGUGAGUCAUUAAUGACAUAAUUUUCAUUUUUGGCUGAACUAACCCUUUAAUGCAUUGCUUCGAAGAUAUGUAUGCUCCCUGCCCUGUUUUUACAAUAAUUUAUGUGGAGAAAAUCUUUUAUAGAAUGUAUUACUAUGAAAUAUAAUUUGUGAUGACUCUUGUCUUUACUAAGGAGAGACAAUCCUGACUGCAAAAAAAUGGAUGCUGUCGAUCGAGGGGAGGGUCGUAAUCCCACCUGGUGCUCACAUGGCAGACUUCACCACUGCCUUGGCCGCUCUCUUCGCCUGUUACUAUGUAUUCAACCUAGAGUAUCAGGUGGAAGCCAGCACAACACUGGAGUUUGUUCAGAGGUUUUUAGUCAGGAUUAAUCCUGACUCCAACAAGUGCACUGCCAAGGAGCAGAUGAGCAAGACGACUGGGAGAGUGGUGAAGCGGAAGACUUCAUACAUGAACCCCCAUGUCAUCUCCUUCAUCAGGGACUUCACGGAGUUCUAUUUGCUAACUGACUAGAUACAGGGCUCCAACUAGGAUUCUAGGUCUCCAAGGUCAGGGCAUGCAAGAGGCCAUAGUGGCAGGGGAAGUUUAUUUUCCUUUCUGUUUUAAAUGUUCAUGCAAAUGUUAAAUUUUUUUUUUUUUUUUUUUUUUAAAUGUUCAAUGUUUUAUUUUAUUUCAGUAUUGCCAUAGUGUUAUUUAUUACUCUUUAGAAUGUGGUAAUAAUCAGUUAUUUAAAAAGCUUCAAAGUAGUUAAAUAUUUUGACCGUGUUGUAUCAAUUUGCGUUAUUGUUCUGCCAUAGCAACCAGUCAUGUGGAACUAAUGAAUGAACUAGUAACAGUUUGCUCUGUAACUUUACAAAACUUGUAAUGAAAUAGCCUCGUUUUGUAAAAUUUUCUUAAGUCAGUAAUUAAAUUUAGCAACAGUAGAAUACGCAGAUAAUUGACUUCACGCCAUUAAAAAUUACAAACACAGAAUGUUCGUUAACUUUGGAUGGCAUAAUGGCAUGUUGUCCAGUGUCAAUUAUCCCUUUAUGUUGUACCUGUUUUGUCAUUCCUGUUCACCAAAUGUUUUUAAAUAAAUAACUGUUAAC